AGUGAACGCUGGCGGUAGGCCUAACACAUGCAAGUCGAACGGCAGCACAGUAAGAGCUUGCUCUUACGGGUGGCGAGUGGCGGACGGGUGAGGAAUACAUCGGAAUCUACUUUUUCGUGGGGGAUAACGUAGGGAAACUUACGCUAAUACCGCAUACGCCCUACGGGUGAAAGCAGGGGAUCUUCGGACCUUGCGCGAUUGAAUGAGCCGAUGUCGGAUUAGCUAGUUGGCGGGGUAAAGGCCCACCAAGGCGACGAUCCGUAGCUGGUCUGAGAGGAUGAUCAGCCACACUGGAACUGAGACACGGUCCAGACUCCUACGGGAGGCAGCAGUGGGGAAUAUUGGACAAUGGGGGCAAGCCUGAUCCAGCCAUACCGCGUGGGUGAAGAAGGCCUUCGGGUUGUAAAGCCGUUUUGUUGGGAAAGAAAAGCAGCAGGCUAAUACCCCGCGGGUCUGACGGUACCCGAAGAAUAAGCACCGGCUAACUUCGUG
rnacentral:rRNA from 1 species